UACGGGGGGGGCAAGCGUUGUUCGGAAUUACUGGGCGUAAAGGGCUCGUAGGCGGCCAACUAAGUCAUACGUGAAAUCCCUCGGCUUAACCGGGGAACUGCGUCUGAUACUGGAUGGCUUGAGUUCGGGAGAGGGAUGCGGAAUUCCAGGUGUAGCGGUGAAAUGUGUAGAUAUCUGGAGGAACACCGGUGGCGAAGGCGGCAUCCUGGACCGAUACUGACGCUGAGGAGCGAAAGCCAGGGGAGCAAACGGG
rnacentral:rRNA from 1 species